rnacentral:rRNA from 1 species
UACGGAGGGUGCAAGCGUUAUCCGGAUUCACUGGGCUUAAAGCGUGUGUAGGCGGGCCGUUAAGUGUCUUGUGAAAUCCCCCGGCUCAACCGGGGAAUUGCUGGGCAUACUGGCGGUCUUGAGCAAUCUAGGGGCAGAUGGAACAAGUGGUGGAGCGGUGAAAUGCGUAGAUAUCACUUGGAACGCCAACGGUGAAGACAGUCUGCUGGGGGAUUUUGCUGACGCUGAGACACGAAAAGCCAGGGGGAGCGAAACGGGG